rnacentral:rRNA from 1 species
GAUGAACGCUAGCGGGAGGCCUAACACAUGCAAGCCGAGCGGUAUUGUUUCUUCGGAAAUGAGAGAGCGGCGUACGGGUGCGUAACACGUGUGCAACCUGCCUUUAUCUGGGGGAUAGCCUUUCGAAAGGAAGAUUAAUACUCCAUAACAUAUUGAACGGCAUCGUUUAAUAUUGAAAGCUCCGGCGGAUAGAGAUGGGCACGCGCAAGAUUAGCUAGUUGGUGAGGUAACGGCUCACCAAGGCGAUGAUCUUUAGGGGGCCGGAGAGGGUGAUCCCCCACACUGGUACUGAGACACGGACCAGACUCCUACGGGAGGCAGCAGUGAGGAAUAUUGGUCAAUGGGUGCAAGCCUGAACCAGCCAUCCCGCGUGAAGGACGUCUGCCCUAUGGGUUGUAAACUUCUUUUGUAUAGGGAUAAACCUACCCUCGAGAGGGUAGCUGAAGGUACUAUACGAAUAAGCACCGGCUAACUCCGUGCCAGCCGCCGCGGUAAAAC